CUUUACUGCAGCCUGGAAUUGCGUUCGGGCUUCGCUUGCGCAGGAUAGGUGGGAGGCACAGAAGUUCCCCUUGUGGGGGGAAUCGAGCCAACGGUGAGAUACCACUCUAGCGAGGCUAGAAUUCUAACCCUUGCCCGUCAGCCGGGAAGGAGACAGUUUCAGGGGGGUAGUUUGACUGGGGCGGUCGCCUCCUAAAAGGUAACGGAGGCGCACAAAGGUUCCCUCAGGCUGGUUGGAAAUCAGCCAGAGAGUGCAAAGGCAUAAGGGAGCUUGACUGCAAGACCUACAAGUCGAGCAGGGUGGAAACACGGUCUUAGUGAUCCGACGGUGCCGCAUGGAAGGGCCGUCGCUCAACGGAUAGAAGUUA
rnacentral:rRNA from 1 species